AGAGUUUGAUCAUGGCUCAGGAUGAACGCUAGCUACAGGCUUAACACAUGCAAGUCGAGGGGAAACGAUAUUGGAAGCUUGCUUUCCGAUAGGCGUCGACCGGCGCACGGGUGAGUAACGCGUAUCCAACCUGCCCACCACUUGGGGAUAACCUUGCGAAAGUAAGACUAAUACCCAAUGAUAUCUCUAGAAGACAUCUGAAAGAGAUUAAAGAUUUAUCGGUGAUGGAUGGGGAUGCGUCUGAUUAGCUUGUUGGCGGGGUAACGGCCACAAGGCGACGAUCAGUAGGGGUUCUGAGAGGAAGGUCCCCCANAUUGGAACUGAGACACGGUCAAACUCCUACGGGAGCA
rnacentral:rRNA from 1 species